rnacentral:rRNA from 1 species
ACUCAAAUGAAUAGACGGGGACCCGCACAAGCGGUGGAGCAUGUGGUUUAAUUCGAUGCAACGCGAAGAACCUUACCUGGCCUUGACAUCCCAGGAACCCUGAAGAGAUUUAGGGGUGCCGUAAGGAACCUGGAGACAGGUGCUGCAUGGCUGUCGUCAGCUCGUGUCGUGAGAUGUUGGGUUAAGUCCCGCAACGAGCGCAACCCUUGUCUUUAGUUGCCAGCAUUAAGUUGGGCACUCUAAAGAGACCGCCGGUGACAAACCGGAGGAAGGUGGGGAUGACGUCAAGUCAUCAUGGCCUUUAUGGCCAGGGCUACACACGUGCUACAAUGGUGGAUACAGAGGGAAGCCAACGCGCGAGCGGGAGCCAAUCCCAGAAAAUCCAUCGUAGUCCGGAUCGGAGUCUGCAACUCGACUCCGUGAAGUUGGAAUCGCUAGUAAUCGCAGAUCAGCAUUGCUGCGGUGAAUACGUUCCCGGGUCUUGCACACACCGCCCGU